CCUACGGGAGGCAGCAGUGGGGAAUAUUGGGCAAUGGGCGCAAGCCUGACCCAGCAACGCCGCGUGAAGGAAGAAGGCUUUCGGGUUGUAAACUUCUUUUGACAGGGAAGAGCAGAAGACGGUACCUGUCGAAUCAGCCACGGCUAACUACGUGCCAGCAGCCGCGGUAAUACGUAGGUGGCAAGCGUUGUCCGGAUUUACUGGGGGUAAAGGGCGUGUAGCCGGGCUGACAAGUCAGAUGUGAAAUCCGGGGGCUCAACCCCCGAACUGCAUUUGAAACUGUUGGUCUUGAGUAUCGGAGAGGCAGGCGGAAUUCCUAGUGUAGCGGUGAAAUGCGUAGAUAUUAGGAGGAACACCAGUGGCGAAGGCGGCCUGCUGGACGACAACUGACGGUGAGGCGCGAAAGCGUGGGGAGCAAACAGGAUUAGAUACCCCGGUAGUC
rnacentral:rRNA from 1 species